CGAGGCGAACCGGGGAAACUGAAACAUCUCAGUACCCCGAGAAAAAGAAAUCAACCGAGAUUCCCCCAGUAGCGGCGAGCAAACGGGGAGCAACCCAGAGUCAACAUCAAUAUUUACCACAGGAGAAGGGUCUGGAAAAGCCGGCAAUAAAGGGUGAUAGCCCCGUAUCUAAAGCGGUAAGUGUUGUGAACUCGAAGAGUAGGGCGGGACACGUGUUAUCCUGUCUGAAUAUGGGGGGACCAUCCUCCAAGGCUAAAUACUCCUGACUGACCGAUAGUGAACCAGUACCGUGAGGGAAAGGCGAAAAGAACCCCGGCGAGGGGAGUGAAAUAGAACCUAAAACCGUGUACGUACGAGCAGUAGGAGCACCCGAAAGGGUGUGACUGCGUACCUUUUGUAUAAUGAGUCAGCGACUUAUAUUCUGUAGCAAGGUUAACCGCAUAGGGGAGCCGUAGGGAAACCGAGUCUUAACUGGGCGUUAAGUUGCAGGGUAUAGACCCGAAACCCGGUGAUCUAGCCAUGAGCAGGUUGAAG
rnacentral:rRNA from 1 species